rnacentral:ncRNA from 2 species
UCUAUUCGCGGAGAUGGCGUUCUCCUUUAACCGCCUGCCAGGGCUGAUGACGCCUGAAUUCAU